rnacentral:rRNA from 1 species
GAUGAACGCUGGCGGCGUGCCUAAUACAUGCAAGUCGAGCGAACGGACGAGAAGCUUGCUUCUCUGAUGUUAGCGGCGGACGGGUGAGUAACACGUGGAUAACCUACCUAUAAGACUGGGAUAACUUCGGGAAACCGGAGCUAAUACCGGAUGAUAUUUUGAACCGCAUGGUUCAAAAGUGAAAGACGGUCUUGCUGUCACUUAUAGAUGGAUCCGCGCUGCAUUAGCUAGUUGGUAAGGUAACGGCUUACCAAGGCAACGAUGCAUAGCCGACCUGAGAGGGUGAUCGGCCACACGGGAACUGAGACACGGUCCAGACUCCUACGGGAGGCAGCAGUAGGGAAUCUUCCGCAAUGGGCGAAGGCCUGACGGAGCAACGCCGCGUGAGUGAUGAAGGUCUUCGGAUCGUAAAACUCUGUUAUUAGGGAAGAACAUAUGUGUAAGUAACUGUGCACAUCUUGACGGUACCUAAUCAGAAAGCCACGGCUAACUACGUG